rnacentral:rRNA from 1 species
GACGAACGCUGGCGGCGUGCCUAAUACAUGCAAGUUGAGCGAUGAAGAUUGGUGCUUGCACCAAUUUGAAGAGCAGCGAACGGGUGAGUAACGCGUGGGGAAUCUGCCUUUGAGCGGGGGACAACAUUUGGAAACGAAUGCUAAUACCGCAUAAUAACUUUAAACAUAAGUUUUAAGUUUGAAAGAUGCAAUUGCAUCACUCAAAGAUGAUCCCGCGUUGUAUUAGCUAGUUGGUGAGGUAAAGGCUCACCAAGGCGAUGAUACAUAGCCGACCUGAGAGGGUGAUCGGCCACAUUGGGACUGAGACACGGCCCAAACUCCUACGGGAGGCAGCAGUAGGGAAGCUUCGGCAAUGGACGAAAGUCUGACCGAGCAACGCCGCGUGAGUGAAGAAGGGUUUCGGAUCGUAAAACUCUGUUGGUAGAGAAGAACGUUGGUGAGAGUGGAAAGCUCAUCAAGUGACGGUAACUACCCAGAAAGGGACGGCUAACUACGUG